AAUACUUAACUUUGCCUCCUACUGUCUACUCUCUCAUAUCAAUAUGAUAACAACCACGACAUCAAUUUCAGUACCUUAUAUAAUUCACGAUCACGAAUACACAAGCAUAACCCAAACCUUGGAACAAACAACUUUCAAUCCACAGAAUCUAAUCGAGACAAUUCCUUUGAUUAUAAUUCAUAUCCACUGAACUCACAACCUUGCGAUAAACAGUGAUCCAUAAACAACUUCGUAAAUCAAAUAUUGAUUCAUUAAAUCGAUUCUCUUCACUAGAAUCAACACCAACACAAAAGAAACAAGAAAACUAAGAAGAAGAGAUAGCACCAAGCUUAUCCCAGCUCAAUACUAUUGCAGUUUGGCUCCCAGCUCAUGACUAUGACAAUCUGGCAUUUUCUUCCUCUCUCCCAUCCUCCUUAUACUACCUCAAGAUACCAACUCUUAUAUUAUGGAUGAUAACUAUUUUUUCUAACUAUUCAUCUAUUCUACCUACUGAACCACUUUUUUAGCAGUUAUCUAUCCAUGUUUACAUUAUACAUUAGAUAUCUACAUUCUCAAAAUAACUACUUAUUCUACAUAGCCCCACUCCUAACUGUGCAGCAUCCCCGCAAACACAAUAUUGAUAAAGAAAAACCAAUCUUUUUUUUUUUUUUUUUUUUUUUUUUUAAUUGAAUUGUUCAAUCUCUUCAAUUUUUGGCAGUGGCUCCAUUUGGUGUUGUUCCAACACUGUAUCUUCUUCUUCUAACUCCUC
rnacentral:lncRNA from 1 species